rnacentral:rRNA from 1 species
AUCACUAGAUGUCAGGGGGUUUCCCUUGGUGUCGCAGCUAACGCAUUAAGUGAUCCGCCUGGGGACUACGGCCGCAAGGUUGGAACUCAAAGGAAUUGGCGGGGGCCCGCACAAGCGGUGGAGCAUAUGGCUUAAUUCGACGCAACGCGAAGAACCUUACCCAGGCUUGACAUGUAGCUGCAAGCUCCCGAAAAGGAGUCGCCUUCGAGGGUGCUACACAGGUGGUGCAUGGCUGUCGUCAGCUCGUGUUGUGAAAUGUUGGGUUAAGUCCCGCAACGAGCGCAACCCUCAUGUUCUGUUGCCAGCGUGCAAUGACGGGAACUCGGAACAAACUGCCCAUGUAAGUGGGAGGAAGGUGGGGAUGACGUCAAGUCAUCAUGCCCCUUACGCCUGGGGCUGCACAUAUGCUACAAUGGCUGCUACAAACAGUUGCGAUCCCGCGAGGGUUAGCUAAUCUGAAAAAAGCAGUCUCAGUUCGGAUUGGAGUCUGCAACUCGACUCCAUGAAGCCGGAAUCGCUAGUAACCGCAGGUCAGCAUUACUGCGGUGAAUACGUUCCCGGGCAUUGCACACACCGCCCGUCACAUGACGAAAGUUGGUUCUAUCCGAAGUCGCCAGGCUAACCGCAAGGAAGCAAGCGCCGAAGGUAGUA